rnacentral:lncRNA from 1 species
AGCGUAGAUGACAAGCUUGAAGCAGUCAAGCAGAACUGAUAAAACUGGGUGAAUCGUGGACAAUGCUGCAUUAUGAAGGAGUGUAGUGAGAGAGACCUGCUCUACCUCUCACCCAGAGAGAGACCUGCUCUACCUCCUCACCCAGAGAGACCUGCUCUACCUCUCACCCAGAGAGAGACUGCUCUACCUCCUCACCCAGAGAGACCUGCUCUACUCCUCACCCAGAGAGGACCUGCUCUACCUCCUCACCCAGAGAGAGACUGCUUACCUCCUCACGCAGAGAGAGACUGCUCUAACUCCUCGCCCAGAGAGAGACCUGCUCUACCUCCCUACCCAGAGAGACCUGCUCUACCCCCUCCUCAACAGCAGACCUGCUCUACCUCCUCACCCAGAGACCUGCUCUACCCCCUCACCCAGAGAGAGAGACCUGCUCUACCGCCUCACCCAGAGAGAGAGACCUGCUCUACCGCCUCACCCAGAGAGAGGCCUGCUCCACUCCUCACCCAGAGAGAGAGACCUGCUCUACCGCCUCAUCCGAGAGAGAGAGACUGCUCUACCGCCUACCAGAGAGAGAGACCUGCUCUACCUCAUCACCCAGAGACCUGCUCUACCUCUCACCCAGAGACCUGCUCUACCUCUCACCCAGAGACCUGCUCUACUCUCACCCAGAGACCUGCUCUACCUCUCACCCAGAGACCUGCUCUACCUCUCACCAGAGACCUGCUUCUACCUCACCCCAGGACUGCUCUACCUCUCACCAGGACCUGCUCUACCUCAUCCCCCAGAGACCUGCUCUACCUCAUCACCCAGAGACUGCUCUACCUCAUCACCCAGAGACUGCUCCCACUCCUCACCCAGAGACCUGCUCUACCUCCUCACCCAGAGACUCCUCCACCUCCUCACCCGAGACCUGCUCUACCUCCUCACCCAGAGACCUGCUUACUCCUCACCCAGAGAGACCUGCUCUACCUCCUCACCCAGAGAGAGACCUGCUCUACCUCUCACCAGAGAGACCUGCUCUACCUCCUCACCCAGAGAGAGACCUGCUCUACCUCCUCACCCAGAGAGAGACCUGCUCUACCUCCUCACCCAGAGAGAGACCUGCUUUACCUCCUCACCCAGAGAGACCUGCUUUACCUCCUCACCCAGAGAGACCUACUCUACCUCAUCACCCAGAGAGAGACCUGCUCUACCUCAUCACUCAGAGAGAGAGAAACCUGCUCUACCUCAUCACCCAGAGAGAGAGGGUGAUAGUCAGAAGAUCAAAAUAAACGCAUGUACAGAAGCACUGCCCCUGUGGCAAUUUAAGAAUUUCUGAGAAUUAUUUGUCGCUGAUAAAACAGCAACUUGGAGACUGAGAAUUGUAGUCUCAGUCUAGACUCAGACUAGAGGCGAAGAGUAUAAGGGUCCGGGAAUAAGUCGGAAAAAAGGUUUAUUAGACUAAUGUUAGAAUUCCUGAAAGAAACAUGAGAUGUUUCCUCAGUAUCCUAUAUCCUGAGGCUUCUUAAGAAAAUAAACUGAACAGAGCAACCUGAUUCUGUGGCAUGAAAGAAUCAUUUCAGUGAAGUUGUCCUUUGAGUUGUCAACAGUUUUUCAAGCAGUUUUUCAAGCUAGUUGCCAUUUCAGUAAAGUCAAGCCAAGUCACAUAAGGUCAUAGACAGACAAGGUCUCCCUACAGUAGGUGAAGGUUUCACGGUGGCCAGUAAUAUGUGAUAACAGGAGAGUUAACAGGAAAGUUUGAUGGAAUCUGUCAAAAAGAAUGGCAAAUAUUACUCCUAUGUUCACAGACCUUGUCAUUGGCUACUGUCAAACAUGUUUUGGGUGAAAAUGAAAUCAAAGCUCACAAUCAAAUCAAAUGUUAAUGGUCACAUGAACAUAUUUUUGCAGGUGUUGUGAAAUGCUUGUGUUCCUAGCUCCAACAGUGCAGUAGUAUCUAACUAUUCAUAACAAUACACACAAAUCUAAAAGUAAAAUAAUAGAAUUAAGAAAUAUAUAAAUAUUAGGACGAGCAAUGUCAGUGGCAUUGACUAAAAUACAGUAGAAUAGAAUACAGUAUAUACAUAUGAGAUGAGACAAGCAGUAUGUAAACAUUAUUAAAGUGACCAGUGUUCCAUUAUUAAAGUGACCAGUGAUUCCAUGUCUAUGUAUAUGGGGCAGCAGCCUCUAAGGUGCAGGGUUGAGUAACCGGGUGGUAGCCGGGUAGUGAUGGCUAUUUAACAGUCAUCCUUGAGAUAGAAGAUGUUUUUCAGUCUCUCUGUCCCAGCUUUGAUGCACCUGUACCGACCUCGCCUUCUGGGUGGUAGCUGGGUGAACAGGACAUGGCUCGGGUGGUUGAUGUCCUUGGUGAUCUUUUUGGCCUUCUUGUGGCAUUGGGUGCUGUAGGUGUCCUGUAGGGUAGGCAGUGUGCCCCCGGUGAUGCGUUGCGCAGACCGGCCACCCUCUGGAGAGCCCUGCGGUUGCGGGCGGUGCAGUUGACGUACCAGGCGGUCAUACAGGAUGAUC